AUACAUGGUUCUCAGAUGGAAGAAGAUGCCCUCUCCCGUGACUGCCAGUGGAUCCUGAGUCUCUGUGGCCGUCUUCAAGACCACUUCACAGGGGAAAAGAGGGAUCCAACAUACUAUGAGCUGGAAAAAGACAAAAAGAAAGCCUGCCUGGCCACUGACUUCAGUUCUCAUAAUGCAACUGACGAGGAGACCCCUUUCAGUAAAACGAAAACGACAAUAAAUGCCAAUCGUAUUGAGGGGGACAAGUUCUAUAGCAAGGCUGUCAUCAUGUUAGAGAAUGACAAAUGCCCCUAUACAGGAUCCAAUACUUGUGAAGGUGAAUCAGGUGGAGAAAUUGAACCAGAUGAAAAGUUGAACUUUUUGUCGCUGAGUGUUCUGGGUCUGAGAAUCCUCUUCCUGAAAACCAUUGUGUUCAACGUUCUGAUGACUGUCCGGGUCUGGAUGAGAUAGUCAUGUCUGUGACUAGGGAGGAAAAUUGGUCUACCCGAGUUGCCUGAAUCAUGUGCGAUUGGAUCACACACACACACACACACACACACACACACACACACACACACACACACACAUAUACACACAAAUCUUGACUGUAUACAAUGCUUUGUAUUAUUCUGACUAGAACGUUCAUUCAUUCAUUCAUUCAUUUAACAAAUACAGUUGACUGAAACUAAACAUUUUGAUGAAACAGUUUUUAUUAUAAAUUUUUGGAGUGCAUGACAUAAUUAUGCCAUGUCAUUAUACAGAAUGACUUCCGUAUCUGUACAUGUUAAUCUACUUCAAACGAUUAGUUCUGUAAUGCAUACUAUACACCUAACUGUUCAAUUAUGUGUUAAGCCUGAUUGUGUGUGGAUUUAUGUCUGCAAUUUUCCUUACCAGUGUUUUAAUCACAGAAUGGCUAUAAUUACUUGCUUAAUUGUAAAGCAUGAGUGAGUUACUUUUUUAAUUGUACUACACAGAUAUUUUAUUUCAGUAGUGAAAAACAGGUUUUUCGCUUCAAUAUAUUGUAUAUACUGACUCCUGGAUAAUCAUGUAUGUCUGUAAGAUAUUUUGUUGAAAAUAAAAUAAAUGAAUAAAUCAUGAA